rnacentral:rRNA from 1 species
GUGAGGAAUAUUGGUCAAUGGGGGAAACCCUGAACCAGCGACGCCGCGUGCGGGAUGAAGGGGCUUUGCCCUGUAAACCGCUGUCGGAGGGGAAGAAAAGCCGGGUCGCCCGGCUGGGACUGUACCCUUAGAGGAAGGUUCGGCUAACUACGUGCCAGCAGCCGCGGUAAUACGUAGGAACCAAGCGUUGUCCGGAAUUACUGGGUGUAAAGGGUGCGCAGGCGGGCUUGUGCGUCAGAGGUUAAAUACCCCGGCUCAACCGGGGAAAUGCCUUUGAUACGGCAAGUCUUGAGUACGAGAGAGGAUGGUAGAAUUCCUGGUGUAGCGGUGAAAUGCGUAGAUAUCAGGAGGAAUACCCGUGGCGAAGGCGGCCAUCUGGCUCGUUACUGACGCUCAGGCACGAAAGCGUGGGGAGCAAACAGGAUUAGAAACCCCGGUAGUCC